rnacentral:rRNA from 1 species
UGCCUUACACAUGCAAGUCGAACGCGAAAGCGGGGCAACCCGCAAGUAGAGUGGCGAACGGGUGAGUAAUACAUCGGAACAUAUCCAGUAGCGGGGGAUAACCUGUCGAAAGAUAGGCUAAUACCGCAUACGACCUACGGGUGAAAGCGGAGGACCGCAAGGCUUCGCACUAUUGGAGUGGCCGAUGUCGGAUUAGCUAGUUGGUGAGGUAAAAGCUCACCAAGGCGACGAUCCGUAGCUGGUCUGAGAGGACGACCAGCCACACUGGAACUGAGACACGGUCCAGACUCCUACGGGAGGCAGCAGUGGGGAAUUUUGGACAAUGGGCGCAAGCCUGAUCCAGCCAUGCCGCGUGAGUGAAGAAGGCCUUCGGGUUGUAAAGCUCUUUCGGUGGGGAAGAAAUGGUACGUGCUAAUACCACGGACUGAUGACGGUACCCGAAGAAGAAGCACCGGCUAACUACGUGCCAGCAGCCGCGGUAAUACGUAGGGUGCAGGCGUUAAUCGGAAUUACUGGGCGUAAAGCGUACGCAGGCGGUUUGCUAAGACAGGUGUGAAAUCCCCGGGCUUAACCUGGGAACUGCGCUUGUUACUGGCAAGCUAGAGUGUGGCAGAGGGGGG